AAGUGGGUGGACCAUUCGCUGCUCCGCCCCGUGACCUGCGCGCUUGCGGAGAGGUACAAGGUCAGAGGUUUCGGAGCCGUCAUGGCGGCGCUGUGCCGGACCCGUGCAGUCACUGCCGAGAGCCAUUUCCUGCGAGUGUUUCUCUUCUCUCGGCCCUGUCGAAGCGCAGGAACUGAGAGUAGCUCCGGGGGUGAGAGUUCCGACUCCCCAGAGCCUAAAAGGCGCCCAGGCGGCUUCGCGAACGCUUUGGAGCGGCAUUCAGAGCUGUGGCGAAAGGGGGAGCUCCCGCAGAAGAGAGUGAGUUGCGGAACUACGCCAGACACCCCGUCGACCGGGCUGGGGUUUGAGGCGAGCUCCCGCGUGGGCUCUCCAAAAAAUGUGGAAUCCUUUGCGUCUAUGCUGAGACAUUCUCCUCUUACACAGAUGGGACCUGCCAAGGAUAAACUAGUUAUUGGACGCAUCUUUCAUAUUGUGGAGAAUGAUCUUUAUAUUGAUUUUGGUGGCAAGUUUCAUUGUGUGUGUAGAAGACCAGAAGUGGAUGGAGACUUCAAAGUCAUUACCAGUGUCACCAUGAGCCAAAACAGACCUCCUGAGGCCAACCCUUUUUGUCCCUUUCCUGUGCACCAUGAGUCCCAUUGCCUUCAUCACCCAAGUGACAGCCUGGCCUUGUGAUUUAUGAGCAUGGUGUCUCCGUGGCUGGGCUCUGAGCGUUUGCACCCUGGGUUUCUGGGAGCCUCGUGCAACGGUGAGCCCACUGCAGGGGCUUGAAAAGUAUCUGUUGACCAUCUGACAGGGUGAAUGAAUGACGUGGAGUCACGUUGCAACAGAUCCUGCUAUGGAAUCACCUGGAGAUCUCCAACUAAGAGCACAGAAGACAGGCGAGUAAGUCAGCCCCUUGAAGGCACAGCAUUCAGCAAAGGCACCCCUUGGGGAAGGAAAGCGGGGGCAGCAACACCUGGCGUAUGAUCACGAUGAGGCCUUGGAGAAAUCCCAAGGAGAUCUGCUCUCAG